UCUCAAUCUGGCCUGAAGUGGACAAGGGGUUCAGUUCCUGAAAAAAAACAGCUCAAACACCCAUUACCAUGGUGACCCCAGCUCCAGGGGGAUGUUACCUAUAGGAACCUAGUGGGAGUCAGAUAGCAUAUUACCUAAACAGCACAGUUAACAAUGGGUAACUUUAUCAUGCAGAUUUAAGGCCUCAUCUUCUGUUCUGAUAAGUUUCCAGGUAAGGCCAUCCCCUCCUCUUUCUGGCACAGGAAAGAAGAUACGUUUACAUAUGGAGAUUUUCUUGACAAAUGUAAAUGUCUCUUAUAAAGGGUAACCAGAAUUAAGGAUGGGCUUAGCACAGACCCACCCAAGUACCCAGAAAUGUCUAUGGUAAUGGCGUUAUCCGGGGCAGGCCUCCCAUCCCAAACUCCUUUGGUUAGUUAGUGGGGAUGGGGGUCAAAACAUCAUUCAGGCAGAAGACAUAUUUUGAGUUGGUAAACUCCGAUCCCCCAUAGUUACUAGCUGCUUAAUCAUCAAUGGCUGUUUUCCAGUUUUAAUAGCAUACAUUAAAGUUGCUGCAGUUAAAAAGCUUGCAGUUGGAUCUUGGGAGUGGGUGGGUGGCCCGCCUAGAGGCAAGCCAUGGCCCGUCCCCGCCCCUUGCCUCUUGGCGCCCCCUGGAUGCUCUUAACUGAGUGUCUCGCUGGGCCUGAGGUGUUUACUUUGAAAAAAUUAGUGUUCAAAGCAGGCCUGAGCCGCCUGGAUACUACAGCUAGGAACAAUGGAAUAGGACGUUGGUUCUAUUUUGUUGGUUUUCGGAACUGAGGCCAUGAUUAAGAGGGACGGCCGGGGGCAUUCGUAUUGCGCCGCUAGAGGUGAAAUUCUUGGACCAGCACAAGACAGACCAGAGCAAAAGCAUUUGCCAAGAAUGUUUUCAUUAAUCAAGAACGAAAGUCGGAGGUUCGAAGACGAUCAGAUACCGCCGUAGUUCCGACCAUAAAUGAUGCGGACUGGAGAUGUGGCUGCGUUAUUCCCAUGACCCGCUGGGCAGCUUCCGAGAAACCAAAGUCUUUGGGUUCCAGGGGGAGUAUGGUUGCAAAGCUGAAACUUAAAGGAAUUGACGGAAGGGCACCACCAGGACUGGAGCCUGCGGCUUAAUUUGACUCAACACGGGAAACCUCACCCGGCCCGGACACGGACAGGAUUGACAGAUUGAUAGCUCUUUCUGGAUUCCGUGGGUGGUGGUGCAUGGCGGUUCUUAGUUGGUGGAGCGAUUUGUCUGGUUAAUUCCGAUAACGAACGAGACUCAAGCGUGCUAACUAGUUACCCGACCCCCGAGCGGUCGGCGUCCCCCAACUUCUUAGAGGGACAAGCGGCGUUCAGCCACCCGAGAUUGAGCAAUAACAGGUCUGUGAUGCCCUUAGAUGUCCGGGGCUGCACGCGCGCUACACUGACUGGCUCAGCGUGUGCCUACCCUACGCCGGCAGGCACGGGUAACCCGUUGAACCCCAUUUGUGAUGGGGAUCGGGAAUUGCAAUUAUUCCCCAUGAACCAGGAAUUCCCAGUAAGUGCGGGUCAUAAGCUUGCGUUGAUUAAGUCCCUGCCCUUUGUACACACCGCCCGUCGCUACUACUGAUUGGAUGGUUUAGUGAGGCCCUCGGAUCGGCCCCGCCGGGGUCGGCCCACGGCCCUGGCGGAGCGCUGAGAAGACGGUCGAACUUGACUAUCUAGAGGAAGUAAAGGUCUGUAACAGUGUUUCCCUAGGUGAACCUGUGGAAG
rnacentral:rRNA from 1 species